AAUACCUCAAGAAUAGAAGGACGUAUUUCAGUCUAGCAUUGGUUUCACCGCGAAUUCAUCAAUUUGGAAAUGAAGAAUUCCCAGACUUCGUGUGUAAGGUUGGAUGGGGAAAGAAAUUCUAGGAGAAUCUGCUGCAGCGUCUUCCGCACGUGCACCGUCUUCGCACCGCGAUGCUGCGCGAACAAUUUUGUUGUUCCGUCACAAAAACUCGAUGGCGCCGGAAUAAAUAAACCACCAGUUUACUAAAACAGCGCACCCGUCACACUGGCGUAAAUUGAAACUUCAAGAGGAUUGAUACUGCAAAGCCUGGAAAAUCUUUUUUGACAAUGUACUCACCCUCCAUUAGGAUUAAAAUGAAUCCAAAAUUGACCUAAGCAGCACUGUACGAGAGGAAUCGAAAUCGAAAUAUAAUGAGGUCGAGCACUAUAAUCACAAAAAUUUGAUUAAUGCAAAUUUGAAAACAUAUUCUGUAUCGAUCAACUGCAUCCAACCAUUUGUCAAAAUAAUUUUCAUACGCUGUGGCAGCGCCCAAUGCAAUUAUUGUUGCCCUUUAUUUCA